rnacentral:rRNA from 1 species
AGAGUGCGUAAUAGCUCACUGGUCGAGCGUCUUUGCGCGGAGAAUUUAACGGGGCUAAACCUGACACCGAAGCUUAGGCAAUACAGCAAUGUAUUGGGUAGGGGAGCGUUGUAUACGCGGUGAAACAGUAGCGCAAGCGGCUGUGGAGUGUAUAGAAGUGAGAAUGCCGGAAUGAGUAGCGCGAAUGCAGUGAGAAUCUGCAUGGCCGAAAGCCUCAGGUUUCUGGAGGAAGGUUCGUCCGCUCCAGGUUAGUCGGGAGCUAAGGUGAGGCCUAACGGCGUAGCCGAUGCACAGACGGUAGAGAUUCCGUCACCACCAAAAGAGUUAAACACAGGGACACAUUUGAAGUCUCGGAGCCGGGUGUUGGUUCCGGUAGCGAUCGAGGGAAAUUAGUACCGAAGUCCGGGAUGGAAGAUGGCGAGAAAAGCUGUGUGUAUUUCUGCGGUGCCCGUACCGCAAACCGACACAGGUAGGUAGGAAGAAGAUUCUAAGGCCAACGGGAGAAGGGUUGUUAAGGAACUCGGCAAAUUGACCCCGUAACUUCGGGAGAAGGGGUGCUCCAGAGAUGGAGCCGCAGAGAAUCGGCCCAAGCAACUGUUUACCAAAAACACAGGUUUGUGCUAAAUCGAAAGAUGACGUAUACGAGCUGACGCCUGCCCGGUGCUGGAAGGUUAAGAGGAGAUGUGCAAGCAUUGAAUCGAAGCCCCAGUGAACGGCGGCCGUAACUAUAACGGUCCUAAGGUAGCGAAAUUCCUUGUCAGGUAAGUUCUGACCCGCAUGAAAGGCGUAAUGAUUUGGGCACUGUCUCAACAGCCCGCCCGGCGAAAUUGUAGUACCGGUGAAGAUGCCGGUUACCCGCGACAAGACGGAAAGACCCCAUGGAGCUUUACUGUAGCCUAAUAUUGGGUUUCGAUGUUGCAUGCACAGGAUAGAUGGGACACUGGGAAGCAAGUGCUUUGGCAUUUGUGGAGUGGCCGUUGGGAUACCAUCCUUGCGAUAUUGGAAUUCUAACCUGCGCCUUUGAAUCAAGGCGGGGGACAUUGUUAGGUGGGCAGUUUGACUGGGGCGGUCGCCUCCUAAAGAGUAACGGAGGCGUUCAAAGGUUCGCUCAGCUUGAACGGAAAUCAAGCAAAAGAGUGCAAACGCAGAAGCGAGCCUAACUGCGAGACUGACGGGUCGAGCAGUAACGAAAGUUGGAGUUAGUGAUCCGGUGGUAUGUGAGUGGAAAUGCCAUCGCUCAACGGAUAAAAGUUACCCUGGGGAUAACAGGCUGAUCUCCCCCAAGAGUCCACAUCGACGGGGAGGUUUGGCACCUCGAUGUCGGCUCAUCGCAUCCUGGGGCUGUAUUCGGUCCCAAGGGUUUGGCUGUUCGCCAAUUAAAGCGGUACGCGAGCUGGGUUCAGAACGUCGUGAGACAGUUCGGUCCCUAUCUGUCGUGGGCGCAGGAUAUUUGAUGGGAGCUGUUCCUAGUACGAGAGGACCGGAGCGGACGUACCUCUGGCGCACCAGUUGUUCUGCCAAGGGCAUAGCUGGGCAACUAUGUACGGAUCGGAUAAACGCUGAAAGCAUCUAAGCGUGAAGCCGACCCAAAGAUAAGAUAUCCCAUUGU